rnacentral:lncRNA from 1 species
GGAGAGCCGGCCCCGGGCAGGGUGCGGGCGUUGAAAAGUGCGUGUCUGCAGGUGCCAACCCGGGCUGUGAAGACUCAUCUCCUGGAGGGUUCCUAAUGUCAUGCUAGAGGGCUGACGGAGAUACAGAAGCUCAUCGCAAGCUCUGGUUUCUCUUCAAAACGAAUACAUCUUUUACCUUUUACUGCAGAUUUUCGUGGAGAGGAACAGUUGUUAGUAACCUUUUUUGUCUGUUUGUUUUUAGGUCCUGCUUGGGCAGGGCCAAGUAAAAAAGAAAAAAGAAAAAAGAAAAAAACCACAAAAGGUCAUCGAAUUAGGGUCACUUUAAGGUAAAAUCAGAAAUUUCGCCUCAUCCCCAACUUUCCUUCUUGGAGUCGUCUCAAGGAUGCCUUUCUCUCCUCCCUACGUAUUUCUUAUUUUAUAUCCUGGCCCUAGUUAUUCUACAUAUGCAUUAACCCCUAAUGAUGUUGGCUGAUUCCUCCUGGGAGUAUUUACAUUUUAAAG